rnacentral:rRNA from 1 species
GGAGUCUGGGCCGUAUCUCAGUCCCAAUGUGUCCGAUCACCCUCUCAGGCCGGAUAAAUGUCAUAGCCUUGGUGGGCCGUUACCUCACCAACAAGCUGAUAUUACGCAGGCCGUUCUAUCGGCAGAGCCAUAGCUCUUUUCAUUUCAUACUUCUAAGAUAUGAAAUCGUAUUCGGUAUUAUCCAAUAUUUCUACUGGCUAUCCCCAUCCGAAAGGUACAUCACCUACGCGUUACUCACCAGUCCGCCACUCUAGGGGUAGCAAGCUACCCUUGCCGUUCGACUUGCAUGCUUAAGACGCACCGCCAGCAUUCGUU